CCUAGAUUCUCCUGAAUCCCGGCGGUCCCGGCAACGCUCCGGACGCUGCUGGCCUGUUCUCCACCGUAGCUCGACUUCCACCUCUAAGACUCGCACCUUCAAGAUUCUUUCGUCUAGUGUUUUGGGUUCCCUACACCAGGAUUGUGGACGAAGCGC
rnacentral:sRNA from 1 species